rnacentral:rRNA from 1 species
UACGGAGGGGGCUAGCGUUGUUCGGAAUUACUGGGCGUAAAGCGCACGUAGGCGGCUUUGUAAGUUAGAGGUGAAAGCCCGGAGCUCAACUUCGGAAUUGCCUUUAAGACUGCAUCGCUUGAAUCAUGGAGAGGUCAGUGGAAUUCCGAGUGUAGAGGUGAAAUUCGUAGAUAUUCGGAAGAACACCAGUGGCGAAGGCGACAUACUGGCUCAUUACUGACGCUCAUGCACGAAAGCGUGGGGAGCAAACAGG